rnacentral:lncRNA from 1 species
CGAAUAGUGAUAACGAGUGGAACCACGUGCCUCUCCCACUGCUGGUGUGUGGAACCAGGCGCCUCCACAGGUAAAACUAGAAAUAUAGGUGGAUUUGAAGUGGUUAGUCCUCUUCUUCCUCCCUAGCUGGUGGUGAAAGUCAACGUUACCAGCAAAACGAGGAAAAACACACAAACAAUUGCUUUUACUUACGUUUCUAUUUCUUUAGAAUUGAUUCUUUCUUCCUCUCGGUUUGUUGGUUGCUGUUCAAUGGAGUAGCUGGAUUGUGAUGGUCAACGGUGCAGCUGAAGGACAAUCGUUAGUGUUACUAGAUGUGUGGGCUAUUGUUGAUGAGGACGACUAUGUUGGGAGCUGCUAGUGGUGUAGGACGUCAUGGAUUUGUUUUGAUGGGGAAUGAGUAGAUGACCGAGAGGGAGGGUUGUUAAUUACUUGUGUUUUGGAAAGGGAGAGGCUGUGGUCAGCGGUGCUGUUGGUAGUGAUAAGGAAAAGCUAGAGCUGCCGUGAGUUUUGGAAGGGAAAUGAGCUGUGGAUGGUGGUUCUUGUGGUUGUUGAGGGGCUGGCGUCUGGUGGUUGGGGAGUCGAACUGGUCUACAAUAAUUUUGCUCAUAAAGGGAGAGGGAGAGGAAAAUGGGUUUACAGCCCACAGUGUUUUUCUCUCUGGUCUACAAUAAUUUUGCCCAUAACUUAGUUGUUCUGUUCAUUUUUCGCCCCCUCCACACCCCUGUUGACUCUGCCCUGACGAAAUUAGGCUAACAUAAAGAAAUUAUUACAUAAACUAAGUUCAUCACAUCACAUGAGGCAUAAACUAAAUUAAUAAACAUGGGACAUACAGGGUAAAAUACAGAGAUUUUUGUUGAUCAUGAUGCAAUUCACAUAAUUUUAUCUAUGUCUUCUAUUUAUUAGUAUAGCCUGCAAGUGAUAUGGUAAAUUUAGCAUGUGUAAACAUUUCUCGUCUAACCUAACCUAGCACGUUCUUAUUUCAUUUUAUUUUAUAUUUUUUAGAUUAAAUUAAGCUCUCUUACGUUGAAUAUUGAAAACGAGUAUGAAUAUUGCUACAACGGUCUAACUGUCUAGCAGAGGCUUAAUUUUCAAUAGGAAGUGACGAGUUAAAGACUUUCAUGUCUUAAAUUUUUUUCUCGAUGCAGAUUGCAGAAGGUAAACAGAAGUUGUGAUGAACUUUCUAAGUAUGUGCUGGCGUUCAAAGCAAUCACAAAAAAGAGAUAUUACUCGAGACGAGGGGUCACCUGUGUUUUGGCUAUUAGUCAAAGCAGCCACAAACCAAGAAACUUCGUAUUUCCUUGCACAGCACUGUCCAAGCAAACUUCCAAAUAUUUGCUCACUAUAAAUUGAUAGCAUUCCCUUGAAAAUCAUCAAGAAACUCCCACUUAACAUUUUUCAGCAAAAGAAAGUUAACUAGUUGGCCUACAGUGUCUUCACCAAUACUACUUCAUCGAAAACUGUUUUAGAUAACAAGAGAAAGCAAGAAAUGGGUCAUUUCUCAGCCAUUUUCAGUUGCUUUGUUCCAUCGGCUUCUUCAAGGGUUAUAGAUGAAGCCCAUAAGAAGGCAGAGAUUCCUAAAAGCAAAUCAAAAUCAUCAGGUGCUCCAAUCGUAGUUUCUUACUUCCCCAUGAACUCAUAUCUCUCUCGCUUGUAGCAAAUUCCAUUCCAGGAAGAUGAAGAAAGGCCAUGUGAUUGUUUAUGCAGCUCAGCAUAUGGCGGGAGCCUGUGCGGUUCUGAUUUAUUUUUUUUAUUUUUUUAUGGAUAUGUUAUUUUAUUUGUUGCAAUAGCUAGGUAUUGCAAGAAUUGCUUAUCCUGUAAAGAAAACAAAGGAUGAAUACAAAAUCAUAUAUAAUUUUGUCCCGAAGUAAGAGUAAAAUUUAUGGAGUCCACCUCUCAAAUCAUUCACCCAUUAAAUUUAUUUGCAAAAUCUUAAUCCUACAGAUCCUGCACACCCCUAGGAACUUGCAAGCUUACAUCUAGUUCUUUUUUUUUUUUAUAAUAAUUAUUAAUAUCAUGCUAGCCAUUUAGAGGAUGGCGAUCAUGAAAAUUUAUAGUUUUUACAUGAAAAGUCAUAACUAAAAGAAAAGAAAACGAAGAUUGAUAAAACAAAAAUGCCUACACCGUACUAAUAAUCAGCAUGGUAUUUUGUCAUUUGUUCAUCUAUGAAUGUAAUCAGCACUUGAAGAUCAUUACUCGUGUAAGAGAAAUGUUCUUCACAAUUGUAUAACCAUGCAGAUAACCGAUGCAGGGUUAAAGAAAAACAAGACUCAGAUUUUGUCAAAUAUCAUUGAAAACUAAAUUAUUUUUGUUAAUCAGAUAUUUCAAGUAAUAUCAUAUGAGAGUAGUUUCCAAGUUUUCCUCUCAAACCUUGUAUUUACCAUCAUUUGCUAUUAAACCAGCAGUUCAUCAGGUGUGUUUAGAGCACACCAAAAGACCCCACCAUGAAAUUAAUUUUGUCCAUUGUUUUCAUGCAAAUUGGAAUUGUAUUAAUACAUGAUCUGACGUCUCUAAUUCAGAUGUACAGAGGUCUCUAAUGUAAGUGCUUACAUCUGGGAAUUAGAAAAUGACAAGUGCAUCAUAAAACACGUUCAAAUACUUUUCUAAGAGAAUUAAUUUAGAUCAAUUGGACUUUGUCAUGAAAACAAGACUCAGCUGGAUAACAGACAAUGUUUCAAGCAAAUAAACAUCUCUUUCUGACACGCAAUUUGAAAGCAAAUAUAUGCUCCAGAGUCAACGUUCAAAAAAAGGCAUAGGUAACGAUUAUCUACCAUUGUUUCAAAAGCCGAAGGGACACAAUAACCAUAGUAUAAAAUAAGUUCGGACUGUUCCCAUGCUUUUGUAAUAUAUACGCAACCAAGACUUGGACACAUUAAAUUAUUAGUAGAUAUAUAUCAAGAUCUUCCUUGCUCUGCAAGCUCGAAAUAUAAUAAUCUUCCCCUUAUAAGUGUCACUAGUCAUUGUGGCCGAAAGCAGCCACUGAAAAUUGGUUUUCCUUUCUUUGCAAGUAAACAUAAACUUCUCUCAUACGCUUCAUUUUUUUCUCAUUAUAAAUAGCCAAUUCUUUUGCGUUUCAAUUCAUCAACUUAGAUUCCAACGUGCCUUCUCUAAGCUUGUUUUUUCCCUCUCGUUGCCCUCUUACUAGGUAUUCCUAACUGUUAAGCUAAAAAAAAACACCAAGUGCCUCUCUUCACGGAGAAAGAAACGUCAAGCUAGCAAUACAAAGCCACAAUGGCUAAGUUCUCAGCAAUUUUCAGCUGCUUUGAUACCUCUUUUUCCUCACGAGUCUCCAAUGACAACGUUUCAGUUCCGGAAGUAAAAGCGCCCAAAUCAGAGAAGUCAAAGGGAAAAUCAAAAUCAUCAGGAGCUCCCAUUGUAGUUUCUUACUUCCCUGUUAAUUCAUAUCCAUCUCGCUUGUAGUAAUUUUGCCAACAAAAUCAGAUGUAAUUACUUAUAUCUCCAGCCCUGGGAAACUAUAUCAUUCACUCACUUAGGUUGAUGAUGCAUCAUUGUGAAGUGGAAAGGAUAAAGAUGAAAGCAAUUCCUUUAUUAAUGUUCUUUGAUUGCUAGCUUCAUGAUCUGAGAUUUGAUGAACAGGGUUUUGUAAUUCUCAUAAAAUUUUAUUUUUGUAAUUGUGAAAUUGAUCAAAUAAUUUAUUUAAAUUGAUCAUAUUAUUUCUAUCUAGUUACUUGCAGCCCACAACUUAGUUAUAUGGUCAACUAAGUCACAAUAUUCCCCCUAAAAAUAACACAAUGUUGGAGAAUUAAUUCGAGGGCAACAUCAAAAUUUUAGCCCAGGUCGAUGGUUUGGAUUUCAUCCCAAAGAUAAAACAAUGAUCACUUUAUUCCAUGCAUCAGAUUUUGAGGACUAAAACGUGGAGAAUAUAUACGAAGAGUAAAAACUUAUCUUUUUAAGGGUUUCGAAAUUUCGGAUGUCUAUUUGUAGAUAAAAAAUCUUGAGGUACAUUCCCAUCCAUGUGCAAGUUGUAAGAAAAUAUCUCAUACUAAAACAAUAAAAGAAAAACAACCAAGUAGUUUAUAUGCAAGAACGAAACCAACACCUAAUAAUUUAGAUUUUUUGGUAAAGAUGAUGUCUAUUCAUUAAUCUAAGCCCUCGACUGUCCAUGGCCUCAAAAUCUUCAUUUUAGAGCCGAUAAGGUGAAGAAUUAAGAUACUUGAUUUUUCACUCUUGACAUAAAUCUUAAAUUAUUUUUUUAUUAAACUUCUGGAAAUUAUCAAUAACUAUUGCUCAUGAUAAUUCAGAUAAAAAAAUAAUGUCUUUUUUCAAGAAAUAUUCAGACAACCUUCUAAUUUGUUUAUGUCUUAGGUAAAUAUAGGCGUAAGAAGUUGCUUCAACCAUCUUUAUAAAAUAACUAUGGUAACAAAAUCCUUUUGUCUACGUGGAUCUUUAGCACUGGCUUAAAUAUGCAAAAAUAUCAUCCCUGUUUUGUUUCAACAUCUAUUCAUAUAAAAAUAUUACUAUAUGGCAUCCAUAUAUUUAUAAUUUUUUUUUAAUCGACAAACAUAAGUCCUUUACUUAUAGAACAUAUAUGCUCUAGAAAAAAAAAAAAAAUUUGCCCCCUUACACUCCUGUUAGGCUAUGGUUAUUUGGGAUUAUUAUAUAGAAUAAGAUCAUGUUUGCAGCUGCAGAUGAAUCGUUUUUUCAAUAAAUUUUGAAUUAUUUUUACUUUAAAUUAAAUUUUUUUAAUAUUUUUAAAUCGCUUUAAAAUGUUGAUAUUUUUCAUAAUCUAUUUUUGGGUUAUUCUCCAAUGUACAUUUUUUCUCUCUUCAAAAAAAUACAAAAAAAUCAAAAACUAUUAUAAAAAAAUAUAACAGUGAAAAGAAGAUGCCAGAACGCCCUAAAAAUGGUCACAAAUUGGUUGAGAAGGUUCAAAAAUUCAAAAAAUAAAAUUUGACAGUAUUUUGUUGACUUAUGAGAGCCCUGUUGACAAAAAAAAUUCAAUUUGAGGAAGAAAAGUCCAAAACCAUAUGUUUAUGGACUCAAUUAAAUUUUAUCGAAGGUUUAAUUGAAUUUAUGGAGGGUUUGAUUGCAAGAGAAAUUGAUUUUGAAAUCAAUUUAGGCUUUAACUGGAAGAAAUUAAAGUUCUGGGGUCAAAUUAUAAUUUUUGAGAGUUAAUUUGGUCAAAUCAGGGACUACAUUGCAUAAAUAUUGAAGUUUGAUGGCCAAUUAGGGACUUAAUUGAAGAAAUUCGAAACCAAAGACCAAAAUGAAAAACGAGCGUAAAUAGAGGGGCUGUAAUUAAACUUUUUGUCUUUCACUCUGCACACGGAAUUCAGGGACCAAAUUGAAGAAAUUAGGAGUUUAUCACUCAAUUCAGUGUCAAAUUGUAUAAAUUCAAGACCAAGGAUCUAAGUGAAAAAGGCGGCCAACUUCAGAGUCGCUGUUUGAUAUUUGGUAGGGAUGCAAUUGCAUUGAUUUUUAAAUCAAAAUUGCAAUUUAGGACUUGAUUGGAGAAAUCACAAAUUGAGGACUGAUUUGUACUUUGACAUAAGUUUGGCGCCGUUUUCAUUUAAAUGAAAUGGCGCGUUUUUGCUAAAAUGGUGUCGUUUCAUACACUGUUAAAAAAAAGAGCUCAAAACGGUGCCGUUUUGAACGGCACUAUAGCCUUUCUUCUUCCCCUGGACGCGCAGAAAACAGGGGAAGAAGAAAGUUUUGUUCCCCUGUUUUCACCGUCUUUUCUUCCUCCUUUUAGUUCAAAAAGACGCCGACCAAAGACCUUAUUUUGCUCAGCUGACCCGUGGCCUCCCACGUGUUGGAGAAACGGAGGAGACGUGCCUCCUCGGGCAAUCGUGGGGCGGCAACACAGUGGCCGCCCCAGCCAUGUCUCUCCCUUGUUUUCCUAUAAAUACAGGGGAGACGAGGCAGAGCAGAAAAGGAGGAAUAGAGAGAAAAAAAACGAAGAGGAAAAAAAAUGGGAGAGCAAAGAGAGAGAAACGAAGAGAAAAGAGGGGGAGAGAAGGAAAGAAAAAAAACAGAGAGAGGAAGAGAGAAGGAAAACAAAAACGAGAAGAAAAAACAGAGAAAAAGAAAGAUUAAAAAAACAGAGGAGGAGCUGCCACCAACACCACUACCGUCUGGAACCACCACCACCGCUGGCCAUCACUGACAACCGAGGCUUCUCCAGGUAAACCCUCCACCCCUCUUGCUUUCGUUUCUUCCCUUGCCAUGCAGGACGUGCACGGUACACGUCUUUGCAGGUGAGAUAAAGCUGGUUAUUGUGCUCAUACACAGUAACCAGCUGAUGUGGGCUGGGCUCAUGGAUCUUGGGCCGAGUCCAGUCCAGCCCAACAAUAGUGGGCCGGGUCCAGCCCAGCAAAAAAUAUAUAUAUUUUUAACAUUUUGUGAUUUUCCAACGUUUUGUUUUACGCUAUUUUGUUUAAAUAUCGGUCUGUAUUUUAUGUCGUAAAAAAUACAAAUCCGUUAUUAAAAUACCCGAUUUUUGUCAACUUAAAAUGUUUUUUGAUAAAAUGUUUUUGUGCAUAUGGCUAAGUGUCUCAAAGCUAAAAAAAUCAUAUUGUGUUUUUCAUACACCAAAAAAAUAAUGUUUUAGCAUGCAUUUUGGCUUUAAUAACCAGUUUAUUAAAGUCAAGAGAACAUUGGCCAAAAUAUCAAAAACAAAAAAAAAUUAUUUUGUGUUGUUUUAGUAUCAGGGAUUACGAAUUUAUACGUAAAACGUAUUUCCGAUAUUAAAACGGUAUUUUCUUUUGACAACAUAGAACAGUUAGGUUUUUACCCGAUAAGAUAAGGAUCUCGGACUUUUCUUAAACCGUAGACAGACCAACAAUUAGAAACCACAACAAGACUUUAGAUUUUAUCAGACAACAAAACAAUGCAGUUUACCUUAGGUAGGACGUAGUUGGGGUGCUAAUACCUUCCCUUUACGCAACCAGUCUCCGUACCCGAUCUCUGAGACCAGUUAGGGUUUCUAGUGACCAGAAUACUAGGUGGCGACUCCCAUUCAAAUUUUCUACUGAUAAGAGACAAGAAUUCCUUGUCUCUUCACAUUUUCCAGAUAGACCUAUACAUUUUCCUUGAGAGGGUGGACGAUCGCCACGACGCCGCACACGUGCGACAAUCAUCUUGGGAUAUUUGAAAAACGAUUAACCGGUGAUCUUUAGAAACAUGAUCGACUUGGGAUCUUUAGAAAAUUAUUGACUAGGAAUCUUUUUUGGUAAAUGAUAAACUUGGGAUCUUUUGAAAUAUGAUCGUUUGAGGAUGUUUUGGAAUAUGAUCUUUUUGGGAUAUUUGAUAAACAAUUUUUGAGGAUGUUUUGGAAUAUGAUCUUUUUGGGAUAUUUGAUAAACAAUUUAAAAACUUAGACUAUGGCCAAAGAAGGUGAUCAAACUUGGCUCAGGAUUUGUGAACUUCCUCUUGUCACCUCAAACCCUUAUCUUUGAUUGCAGAUAUGAUUAUGAUAGUAGGCUCAUUUUCUACUCAAACUCUAUUUUGAAUAAGCAAUGUGGUUAUGAACCUUUUAGAUCUUUUCUUUGUUGUUUCUUUAUAACUCUAUGUUGAAGCUUCAUUUGCUUCUUGGAUUACCCUUAACAUUCAUUUCCACCUUUUUCUUUUUACUAUCGUCUUUCAUCAUAACUCCCUUUGCUAUUUUUCUAGCAAUCUCAUAGAUGAUCCAAAUACACUUCAAACUCAAAUAAACUCAUUUUCUAUUUUUUUUUCUUUAAUGUUGUUCUUGUUCAUUAGUUUUAUUUAAUUAAUAUUAGAGUUGGUUAUGCAGUUAACAAAAAUAAAAGACUAUUUUUAAGGAAAUAUGACUAAUUAAGAAUCAAGGAAAAAGAUUAAUUAAGAGAAACAAGGAAUAAAACAAAAUAAUCAUUUUGAAAAUUCUUUGGCCAAAAUUUUAAGUUCUUUAUUGCAUUAAAUUCAAGCAUAAUAUUUACUUACAACAUGUGAAUUUACAAGCUUACAACUCCAUUCCUUCAACAUUUGACAAAAUAAGAGCUCCUAUUAAAAAUGUCUUCUUGACUAUAUAAAUGCCUUCAUAACUUAGCGUGUAUUUUCUUUGAUCUUCACCAGGAAUUUGAAAAACCUUAUUCAAAAUCAAAUCUCCUUCCUGAAAAACUCUUGGAAGCACUUUUUUUAUUGUAAGCCUAACAAUCCUUUUUUGAUACAACUUUCCAAUGCAAAUCAAAGUCAAUCUCUUUUUAUUGAUCAAAUUCAACUACUUAUAUCAUAUUCUAACACAUUCUAACUUUUCUAAUUCAAUUUCUUUCAACAACCUUAAAUAAGGUAUCUCCACUUUGAGAGGUAAAACCGCUUUCAUUCUAUAUACCGAUCGAGUAAAUAGUUACUCAUGUCGAUGUUUUUAUAGCAAUUUGUUAUCCAUGAAAUCCAUAUGAAAGCAUUUCAUGCUAGUCUUUAUACGUGAUCAUUAUUUUCUGUAUAAUCUUCUUUAUAUUGUUGUUCGCCGCUUCUACUCUACCAUUCAUCUUAAGCCGAUAAGGCGAAGAAUUAAGAUGCUUGAUUUUCCACUUCUAGCAUAAUUCUUGAAUCAUCUUUCCAUUAAAAUUAUGGGCAUUAUAAAAAACUAUUACUCGCAUCGUAUUCUGGCACGUUCUGACUCUUCUAAUUGAGCUUCUUUCAACACUCUUUAAAGAGGGUAUCUCUACUUUGAGAGGUAAAACCGUUUUCAUUCCAUAUACCAAGGAGUAAGGAGUUAUUCUUGUUGAUGUUUUUAUAGAAGUUUGAUAUCAUGUAAUGUAUUUUUUAAUUUAUACCAUGGAAUAAGGAGUUAUCCUCUGAUCAUUGAUUAACAUUUCUAUGUAACUCGUAAUUAACUACAUGAAGAUUGUUCAUUACAGGUACCUGUAUAUAUUGCAGAAAUAACACCUAAAAAUAUUAGAGGUCGAUUUGUAGUGACUCUUCAGGUAAACGUGUUUGGUAUUGUGAUGCACGAUGUUUUUUAAAAAUGUUUUUCAAUUAAGAUCAUGUUAAAAAAAAUGUUUUUUCAUAUUUGUUUUUAUUCUUGAUGUUAGAACCAUCCAGAAAACCUAAAAAAAACAUCAAUUAUUUUUCGAGCGAAAAAUAAUUUGAGGCCAUCAAUGUCUUCUUUCAUUUCCUUCUUUUUCAAUGACUUUACUCUUCAUGUUUGCAGUUGAUGAACUGUUCUGGCCUCUUGGUAGUUUUUUUCCUUGGAAACUUUUUUUCAUGGCGCACCGUGUCUCUAUUAGGUAAUGUUUCACAAUUUGAUUUAAUUAAUUAUUUCAUCAUCGAAGGAGUUUUAUUUCUAAAAUGAUUAAGCAUUUUAUCAUUGUUAAUUUACUUGUGCCUAAAUCUUGUUGAAUCCCAGCUAUAAUUCCAUGUUUAAUGCAAGUUGUCGGUUUAGUCUUCAUACCAGAGUCUCCAAGAUGGCUAGUGAGUUCCUUUUGUGAUCACACACACAUAUUUUCCCAUUUUGAGACAGUAAAGGUAAUCUAAGUGUUUGCUGCUAUAGGCAUCAAUUGGCAAGGAAAUAGAGUUUGAAGAUGCUUUGCGACGGCUUAGAGGAGUGGAUGCCGGUUUUUCUCAAGAAGCUAUUGAAAUCAAAGUAAUAUUUCUUGUCUUAAAAAUCUAGAUUGUAUUAAAGUAUCUUUUGUUAUUGUUUUUUUUUUGGUUUGAUCGGCUUUUAGCCUCAUGUUUUCUUCCUACCUCUGUUUUUCUCCUUCACUUUCUUAUUACUCUUCAAGGAACUAUAUAAACUCUUCAUAUGAUUCAUCUAAACAUAAAGUGAUUUUCUGGAAAUAUUAUCCUUCAUGAUUUUGAGGCUUGUUUUAGUAAUUUGAGUGGGUUAACAAUUGUUGUUAGCCAUUGUUAAGGGGAAGAUAAUGAUGUACAAUUGAGGGAUGAAAUUGAAAAAAUUAUUUUGUUUUAGGCAACAACUAUAGCGUCGAUAUUCCCAUACAGCAUACAAAAUUAAUCAAUUUAAAUGACAAGGAUCAUUUUAAAUGUUAAAUGUCACAUGAUUGGUUAGUAAGAAAUAUUAGUAUCCCAACAUUACUCUUUUCAUAUUUCUCAAGGAGCUGACAUGUGAUUCCAAUAUCUGUUGUAGGAUGCUACAGAGAAUUUCCAACGCAGUGAAGCUGGAUUUCAAGGCUUGUUUCAAAAGAAAUAUGCUUAUCCAGUUAUGGUAAGUUUAAGAUAAGCUUGUCCUUUGUUCUUCUUCUUCUUUUCAAUUGAGACCUGUUGGGAUAAUGGGAUUAGAGAGAUAGCAUGAGUUGAGUUUUUCUAUUUGGGAGUGCAGGAUGUUCUUUUUUUGGCGCGUUUCACUUGAAAAAACAUUAAGUUGAAGUAUUUUUUAGUGCUUUUCGAUAGUUUUGAUGUGACGAUAUAAAAAAUAAAAAAAAAUAUGAAAAAAAUUUAUUUUGAUGAAUUUUAUAGUGAAAAACACUUUUAAAAAACACCAUGUAAAGGUGUUUAGGAGUAUGAUAGAGAAUGCUUUUCUUUUCGCUUGGAAAUGCAUCAAAAUAAUGUUUUUUUUUAAAUCUAUUUUUAACAUCAGAACAUCAAAACGAUCCAAAAACAUUAAUUUUUUUUUUUAAAAUUUUGACGAAAAGCAGGUUCAACCUCAAUUCUAAACAAGCAUUGCAUCACAAUACCAGACACUCUUACUUUCCUCAUAAAAUAGGAGGAAUAGAUGUUAAACCAACCAUUUCCUAUUUAGAAUUUUCUAAUAUAGCUAGUUAAUCAUUAUAUUGUAACAAUAUAAACGGCAUUCUUGAGAUAAGAAAUUAAAACAGUCUCGAUAUUAAGCUGUGUAUUUGCAGCUUUAUUUUCUGCUCUCAAUACAAGUUGAGUUACAAAUUAAUUCAUUAAUCGAUCUGUCCUCAUUCUUUCAAUCAAAUAUCAUCUCAUUUCAUUAUGCUGACUGAUAAACACAAUUUCAACUAACUUAGAUUGGAGUAGGGUUAAUGUUACUUCAACAAUUGGGAGGGAACAGUGUGUUUGCAGCUUAUCUUAGCACAGUGUUUGCUAAAGCUAGUAAGUCUCUCUCUUAAAAUAUAUGAACAUCUGAUCAUUGAUUAUUAACUUACAAGGAACUAAUGCAAAGAGAAAUCCCAGAAUAAUAGUUUUUAUUUAAUCCGGAAUGGAAGAGGAAACCUAGCCAAACUAUACGAUUCCAAUCCUUUUGACACAAGGAAAGGAAACAUGGACGAAAGGGAAGUCUUUCAUGGCCGUUACGGUUAUAAUAAGGAAGCAGAUUUUAUCAUGCUUCUUUCAACUGGGCUAGUGAUGAGCCUCUCUCACUAAUACUAUUAUUUUAUAAAAUAAAUAUUAUUUUACCAAAUAUUUAUAACUUUAAUAUAAUUAUUUUUUGGGUCAACAAUAUAAUUUUUUAUGAUAAUUUUAAUUUGAAUAAAAUAAAAUUAAUACUCUACAAUUAGAAUUUUUUUAUAGUUUUCUUAUACAAGUCUUCUAAUGUUUUUUAAAUAUAAAUAAGACACCAACAAUUGCAAUGAUCUAUCUCCAUCAUGAUAAAAUUUCAAAGAUUACCCAGAUUUGUCAACCAAGGCUAUAGACUCGUUGAAUACAUCAGUGUAACGCACGUGCGGCCCAAAACAUCUAAAGAUAUCACAGACCUGUUAUUGCCCCAAACUUCCUUGGCCAAGAAGGACAUAAUCCCUCUAAGACGAUGAAUAGUCCAAAACUUGAUGAAAAAAAUUGUUGGUUUAGACAUUGGGGCAAUGGCAACCCGCGAGACAGUGUCGGCAGAAUCGGCAGCAGUGACAAAUCGGUAGCAGUGUCGAAUUCGGCAGCGUUGGCUUAUUGGCACCACCAAGAGUGGAGUCUGGAGUCUGCAGUCAAGUCUAGACAUAAUAAGGAUUUUGCAAACUCGACCGAUGCUCUUCUUGCUUGACAAUCUUUCUUGUUCGAGAAUCAACUCUCAUAUUUCAAAGAUCAUGUCUAUUUAAAGUAUAAUUAUUGAAAUGAAAUCAGAGAGAUGUCAGUUUUUUUUUUAAAAUUCAAGCUUCUUUGGUCAAAGGCCCAACACACGUCAUUCAAUACAUGUAGUCCUUUGAUUAUCUUGUAUUUUGAAAACAGAAAUUGACUCAUCAAAAGAUCAAAAUGGCUUUUUCCAUGGUUCUUUGUGUCAAUUUUAAUCUCUGAUCUUGGGUAUAUCUUUUGAUGGUCUGUGAUGAGGUGACCUUCUGUGAAUUUCAAGAAACAAGAUGCUCAAGUCAGAACUCGGGCUUUUAUCAAGAAAGGUUUUUUUUUAGCACUUAUUUUACCAGCAUGCCUAAUAACAAGUAGCUUAAUCCAUGAAGUCACGACCCUUAUGGAAAAACUCUUCAAGCUUUGAGAGCGUCAUUUAUUGGUUCAAAUUGCUUACUUGAUUGAAAAGGGCUUUUAAAAGUACGUAAUGAAGGCUAUGGUUUAUGGCUAUGAAAGAAAGGAAUUUUACAGGCUCAAAAGGUGUUUGCGGGUUUCAAAAACCUAGGAUCAACAUCAAUUAUUCAUCAUUUCUCUUUCUCUUGUUGUCUUUGUAGAGAAAACGACAUAUAACCUUAUUAACCUCAAAUAUCAGAAUUCUCUUAACAUAUAUCAGAAUGCAAAUCCAACUUUUUCUUUGAUGAAUAACCAAUCUCAAUCAUCUGAUAACACCAGGGGUUUUAUUAUGGAUACCAGAAGUCAUGUUUGUAGCCCAGACUUUUUUUUUUUUUUCGACUUUCGACAUUUGUUGUGAAACUCCUUUUGUCUUUCCUAAACUUAAUAGGCAUUCUCCUUCAUUUAUCUUUGACCUGCCUUUAAGUGUAGGCAAUUUUCUUCUUCUUUUUUUUUUUAAUGGCAUUCACAUAGCCUUUCUCACAGUUUUUUUUUUUUUUACAUGCCCCCAGUCUAGGUCUUCUUUCUUUUAGCUCUCUCUCAAAUGUUGGACUUUUGUUCUAAGCCUUCCCUUUCACUUUUGUCUUCUCUUAUUUGCCGCCAGUGUGGGGUGUGAUCCUCGUCAGGGUUUCUUUUGAAAAGAAUAUUCUAUCAGGCUCAAAAUGGGAUUGCAAAUGAUAUAUUUCAAGUAUUGUGAAAGGAUAAAACAAAGAUGGCCUUUUCUCGUUUCAAGCAAGGUUGGUGUGAACCGAUAAAUUUUGUCCUCGUCCAAUGUAAUGAUUUCGACUUGCAAGAACCUUGAUUCGUGAGUCCAUAACUACUGAAUCCAUUACAUGUCAUUAUGCAUACUGCUAAAACUUAGCUACAUGGUGGGUGAUUCAGUUUCAUGUGUGAGCUCAAAAUUUUUUUGGUCACCCCAAUCCUCGAGUCAUUUCUGAAAUCAAAAUACUUUUAAUCUUUCAAGAUUGAUUAGCCUUAAUUGCAUGUUGGAGUUUGAUCAAAAUAUUUUGUCAAAAAUGAAAUGCUAAACAUCUCCUGACUUCAGAAUAACAAAGAGACAAAUAAAAGACAUGUUUCGUUAAAGAAUGAGAUGUGAUCCCAAAACAAAAUGCAAAAUGACAAAAUUCCAUAACAAUAUAAUUGACAAUUCAUCGCCAUUCUUGGACCAGCUUUCUUAGCAAGCAUUUUCAAUCACUUGUCAUUCUGAAGAUGUUCGUGGGACAAUAUAGCCAAUGACAUCACCUUUCACAAACUCAACUUGCCUCUUGCUCAUCCACCUCCAGAGUCAUCUCUCAUCAUUGUUCUGGAAUCCAUGACAGAACCUUCAAUUUUUCCCCUCUUUAUAGCUUGUUCAAUUCUUUCAGCAAUCCUCACAACUUCAUGGAAAUGUUGAGCCGAUCUUCCUAUUAAAUGCGCAUAAUAAGGGGAUUGAAAUGUGUUGGCAAACAACAUCACCAUUUCUGUAUCUAUCAGUGGAGGUUGAACAUAUGUUGCCUUAUCUCGCCAUCUUUGAGCAUAUGCCCUCACAGACUCUUGGUUUUCCUUCUCCAUAGACAUUAGGAUGGUUCUGUCAGGAGCAAUUUCAAGAUUGAACUUGUACUGCUUAAGAAAAGCCUCCACCAAAUCUUUCCAUUUCUUAACUUUAGCAUUGUCCAACCUCAUAUACCAGCUUAGGGCAGAUCCCGUUAGACUAUCUUGGAAAAAAUAGAUCAACAGCUUAUCAUCAUAAAUCACCUCAGCCAUUUUAUUGCAGUAAGAUCGAAGGUGAGUGUUUGGACAUUCCAAUCCAGUGUAUCUGAUGAACUCUGGUAUCCUAAAGUUCUUUAGUACCAAACACACUUCAGCUGCUCGCAUGGGAUCAAACCAAUCAUUACCCUCAACUGCUCUUAAUCUUUCUUCCAAAGCAGACAACUUGUCGUAGUUCACAAAAUCAGUGGAUCUAUUGCCAGGGGGUCCAUCUAUUGUUAAAUCCACGGUGAUGGGAGCUUGACUUGAUGGGAUAGGGGCGAUAGGCAUAAAAUGUUGUUCUGCUCUUGAAUCUGCCCCCAAGUUUUGAGAUGUCCCUGGGACGUGGAUUGAUGGUGUUUUCACAGGAGGUUGUGCAAAAAUCCCCUUUUCAUUUUUGGAGCUCAGCACUUGUUCAAGCAGAUCUGUAAGUCUAGCAACUUCACCUUUGAUGCUCUCAAUUUCAUUUUGAUAAUGGGCCUCCAAUUGAGCUCUUUCUUCAUUAUCCAUCUUUCAGGUGUAGGAAAUCUUGGAUGGGGGACCUAUGUUUCAACCUGGCAACUUGUAUAAUAAAUGUAUGAGUAUGUUCCUAUAUGAUGAGUUUGCCCUUCUAGGGUUGACACAUAGUCGUAACCCUUGCAUUUUGAUUUUUGCUCCACAACGGAAAUUUCCUGAGUAACGACCAUUGUGUCAACCACAAGUCUUGAGUUCAAGAAGCUUCAGGAAAUGUUUACUUUGAUGUAAAACAAAAGGUAAAACACACAACCUAAGGACAUGUUCUAUUCAUUAAGUGAGACCAAUGGUAGGUUGAUUAUCUAGUCUCAAAAGGGUCUCAUAUCUGCCCAGUGACGAUCUUCGUAAAGACAAUGUGGGGGCGUUGCAAGGAACAGUUAAGGCACGUAUGCCCACCAUUACCAAGCAGGCACUCAGAUAUGAGUUGGGUGUUUCACGCAUCUGAACCCUGACCAAUAGUCAUAGGGCAGAUCGCUAAUUCCCCACCUAACUUUAAAGCUUGUGUGUGCUUUCCAAAAAUUUAAAACAUGUGAUGCAUGAGGCAUUUCUAUACAAUACAUGAUUAUAUAUGUACAGAAAUUAAAGUGUGAAUAAAUAAAUAAAUAAAAUAAGCUUAUUAACAGAAAACACGCAAACCAAACAAAACACAAUUAUCAGACAAAAACAAAGUUUAGUCCACAAGGUCCCCAGUGGAGUCGCCAUUCUGUCGCACGUGUGCGGCGUCGCGGCGAAAACAUCCACCCUCGAAUUUUUAUAUAAUGUGUCAAUGUGGCGAGACAAGGAAUUCUUGUCUUUUAUUAGUGGAAAAAUGGAAUGGGAGUCGCCACCUAGUAUUUUGGUCACUAGGAACCCUAACUAGUCUCAGAGAUCGGGUACGGGGACUAGUUGCGUAAAGGGAAGGUAUUAGCACCCCAAAUACGCCCUACCUAAGGUAAGCUGCAUUGUUUUAUUGUCUGAUAAAAUUUAAAGUUUUGUUGUGUUUUUUAGUUGUUGGUCCGUCUAUGGUUUAAGAAAAAGUUCUCUUCGAUAAAGAAAUCUUUAUCUUAUUGGGUAAAACCUAACUGUUCUAACGUCAACAAAUAAUUUGAUAUCCGGAAUACGUCUUACGUAUAAGGUCGUAAUCCUAGAUAUUAAAAGAAAACAAAAUAAUGUUUUUUUGAAUUUUUGAAAUAUUGGUAAGUUCUCGUGACUUUAAUAAACUGGUUAUUAAAGCCAAAAUGCAUGCUAAACUUUUUUUUUUAUAUGAAGAUACAAUAUGAUUUUUUAUUUAUAUAUUUUUUAGAGAGACUUGGCCGUAUGCAUGAAAACAAAACAUUUUAUUUUAUUUAUUUAUUUUUUUUGAAAACCAGGUAUUUAAUACCGAAUUUGUAUCUUUACAGUAUAAAAAUACAAACCAAUAUUGAUCAAAAUGCAGUGAAAUAUUUGCGGAAAAUCACAGAUUUUUGAAAAGAAUUUUUUUGAAUUUUUUUGAAUUUUUCUGGCUGGGCCCAACCCGGCCCAUGUGGCUGGGCUGGACCCAGCCCACCUGUGUGGCUGGGCUGGACUCAGCCAGCCCAGCCUGGUCACUGGCCCAAAGCCAGUGACCCAAUUAUGCCAUGCACGUGUAAAACUUUACCCGUGUAUGAACAGUGCGAAGGUAAUUAAAUUACCUUCGCACUGUUCAUCUCCUUCUUGCCAAUUAACCCAAAACGCAGGCAACACUUUGUAUCACAGAGACUGUGGAAGGAAGUAAAACAUACCAGGUGCUGGAGAGAUGAAGAAGAUGGUGGUGCUGAUCUCUUCUGCUAUCUGCGUUCGCUGUUUCGGGUUGCUAUGCGUUCCUCUGUUUUUUGUUCAACUCACGUCUCUCUCUCUUUCCCUUUUUCUUUCUUUGCCCGUCUGCUCUCCUCUAUCCUCCUCCUUCUGCUCUCUUCUCUUGCUGCCUUUUUUACUUUCUUAUGCUCUUCCUUCCUCUGUUUCUCUCUUCCUUACAUUCCCCUCUCCCUCUGUUUUUUUUUUUUUUUCAUCGGGUCCUUCUCCCCCUCCUUCUCCUUUUUUUCCCUCCCUUGUUGCAGCUCUUCCUCUGGCUUUUAUAGCCAGAGGACGCCAGCAAUUUUGGUAAGCCGGCGUUCAUCACGGUGACGAGGGAUGUCAGCCGCGAUACCCGCCCCAUUGAUUCGAGAAUAAUUCCAUAAUCGUUGCUAACGUCUCCUUCCAUUAUUGUCACCGAUUCACAGCUGUUUGAAGACCAUUAAUGGUGGAAACGGCGCCGUUUGGGUUCUUCUAAUUUGGCUCUUGAAGUUUUCGCUGUUUUAUAAUCAAACCCCCCGACAAAAUUGUAAUUGGGUCCCUUAAUGUUAGCGCCUUUUCUGGUUUGAUCCUUGGUCUCGAAUUGUUUCAAUUAAGUCCCUAAUUGUCCAUCAAACUUCAAUAAUUAUGCAAUUAAGCCCCUGAUUUGACCAAAUCAACUCUUUAAAAUUACAAUUGGACCCCAGAACUUUAAUUUCUUCCGAUAAAAGCCUAAAUUGACUUACAAAAAUCAAUUUUCUUGCAAUCAAACCCUCUAUAAAUUCAAUUAAACCUUGGAUAAAAUUUAAUUGAGUCCAUAAACAUCUGAUUUUGGACUUUUCUUCCUAAAAUUAAAUUUUUCUCAUCAACAGGGCUCUCACUGUCAAAUUUCAACCUUUUGUAUUUUUGAAUCUCCUCAACCAAUUUUGGCAUUUUUUCGGCAUUCCAGCAAUCCUUUUUCUCGCUCCUAUUAUUGUUUGGAUUUCUUUUGAUAUAUUUUUUUGUAUUUUUUUAUUUUUAUGUGAACCCAAAAAUGGGUAACAACAGAUAAGGUAAAGAAUUAAGAUACUUGAUUUUUUGCUUUUGACAUAAAUCUUGAAUUAUUUUUCCAUUAAAAUCCUAAGCAUUAUCGAUAACUAUUGCUCAUGGUAAUAAAUAUAAGAAAAUAAUGUAUUUUUCAAAAAAUGUUUGGACAACCUUCUAAGUAAUAGGAGUAGGAAGUUUCUUCAUUCAUCUUUAUAAAGUGACAACGAUGGUAACAAAAUCCUUUUUUCUACCGGAUCUUUAGCAUUGGCUCAAAUAUGCAAAAAUAUCAUCCCUGUUUUGUUUCAACAUCAAUUCAUAUAAAAAUAUUACUAUAUGAUAUCAAUGUAUUUAAGGGUUUUUUUUAAAACGACAACUAUAAAUCCAUUACUAUAGAGCAUAUAUGCUCUAAAAAAAGAUGGCUAUUUGGGAUUAUUAUAUAGAAUAAGGUAAUGUUUAAAGCUGUGGUUAAACUGAAUUUUUAAUAAAUUUUGAAUUUAAUUUUUUGCUUCCAAUUAAAAAAAAAUAGUGUUUUUGAAUCACUUUAAAAUACUAAUAUAAAAAAAUUAAAUAAAAAAAUAUUAUUUUAAUAUAUUUUAAAAUAAUAAACACUUAAAAAAAAACUCAUAUCAUAAUACUUCUAGAUAAACUUUAAAAGUUUACGCGCAAGCUGGCCCGGAUAUCCACGUUAAACUAAAAAAAAUAUAGUUGAUAAUAUAUGAAUUCCACAUGCUUUUAUCUAUUUCUUAUUAUAUUUAUUGAUAUAGUCUAGGAGUACAAUGAUAGGCUUGUCAGCGUAAUCAUUCCGUGGCUAAUUUAUUUUUUAGUUAAAUAAAGCUCUCUCACGUUGAACCUGAAACCGUGUAUCCUGCCUGUGUUUGCUACACGCCGGUCCAACGAGCUAGGACAGGCUUAAUUUUCAAAUUGAAAGUGACAAUUGAAAGACUUUCAUGUCUUAAUUCAUGACUAGAUGCAGAUUGCAAAAUGUAAACAAAAAUUGUCAUGAACUUUCUAAGCAUGUGCUGCUGGUGUUCAAAGCAGGCACGAAAAAGAAACGCGGGGUCAACUGUGGCUAUUAGUCAAAGCAGCCACAAACCAAGAAUCUUGUGUUUCCUUGCACAACAAGACUGUCAAAGCAACUUCCAAAUAUUUUCUCACUAUAAAUAGACUGGAUUCCCUUGAAGAUCAUCAAGAAACUCCAACUUAACUUUGUUCAGCUAAAGAAAGAUAACUAGUUGGCCUACACCAAUACUUUGAUCGAAAAUUGUUUUAGAUAACAAGAGAAAGCAAGAAAUGGGUCGUUUCUCUGCCAUUUUUAGUUUCUUUGUUUCAUCAUCUUCUUCAAGGGUUGCAGAUGAAGCCCGUAAUAAGACAGAGAAAACCAAAAGCAAAUCAAAAUCAUCAGGUGCCCCAAUCGUAGUUUCUUACUUCCCCGUGAACUCAUCUCUCUCUCGCUUGUAGGAAAUUCCAUUCCAGGGAGAUGAAGAAGGGCCAUGUGGUACUUUCUAUGCCGAUAAUCGUGGACCAUCUUCGGCCUUUUUCACAAAAACCAACUGUAUGACAGUGUGGCAAUGCUGCUACGUUAGGCUUUGAAGUGAUUGUAGCAAUUAUGAGUAGCGGAAAUUCUAUCUCAAGACUAUUUCAUGCGUGAUGUUUAUGCAACUCAUCAUAUGGCUGUAGCCGGUACUGUUCUGAAUUAUUUUUUAUUUUAUGGGUAAAAUUUCUUAAAUUUUGCUUAUAUAUACUUUAAUCAGUGGAAUUCGAAGAUAGACGAACAAUGUUCGCAAUCAUUGAUAUAUAGUAUUUAUUUAUAUUAAAAUAUCUAUGAUCAAGAGUCAAGAUUAUAAAAAUCAUAGUAAAUAAAUAAUCUAGCAAUAUUGCUUUAAGAGCCACAUGCCCACAACCACCAUACAAUCAACUAAUUUGGGACUGUCGCUUGCUAAUAUAAUAUUCAACUAAGACUUAGCACACAUAUGUAUGAUUAGUAUAUAGUAUUAUAUCAGAUCUUCCUUGCUUUGGAAGCUCAGAAUAUAAAAAUCUCCCAUUUUGUGUGGUCAAAACAGCCACAACAUGUGAAAAUUGAUUUUCCUUUUCUUUCCAGGCAAAGCAUAAGCUUCUCUCGUACACUUCAUUCUUAUCUCCUUGUAAAUAGACAAGUGCCCAAGACGGUCUCCUUGAACUCAUUAUCUAAUCUUCAAUUAGUACCUUCCUCUUACUAUUCCUAAUUGUUACACUAAAAAAGCUAAUAGUACCCCAAAGUAUAUCUACUAGCAGAACUAUGGAAGAUCGUGCAAGAAGAAACUAUUCCAAUUUGUUUACUAGAGAGCUUUCUCAUCCCCGACCUCCCACCGUUGAAACUGAAGAAGAGUGAAGACUAAUUUCUCUCACUUUCAGCACCAUCAAGGGGCGGGGCUAGGAUUCAAAGAUAAAAGGGGGAAAAGUUGUCGAGAACAUGAAGUACAACAUAACAUAGUAAAAUUGAAUUAUUAAAAAUUAUAGAGGCUAUUAUUUUUACCAAAAAAAAUAAAGGGGCAGUAACUCUGCCGUUUACCCCAUGACUUGAUAUGGUUUAGUGAGACAAACAAAUUUACUAAGAAUUAACACACACGAAAUGAAAAAAAAAAAUAAGAAGAAACUAAUAUAGAAUAAAAAAAAUCAAGGAGAAUAAUCAAUAAAAGGAAAGGAAGAGGUGAAUCAAAAUAAUUAGGGAGAAGGGCACUAAACCAUGGGAUUGUUAUCGUUAUUAUUACAUCUUUGCAUCUCAUCUGUUGAGUAGUAAAUCGAUAUUGCACAUUGGUAGGUUUUAAGGAUACUGAUUUUCAAGAAUGGCAUUACCAAUACAUGUUGGGCUCUUAAGUACAAUAAACAUAGUCUUUCUUUUAUAUAUAUAUAUAGCCUAGGGUGAUGAUAAUUAUGGUUGUAAAAUUUGAUUUAAGAUUGAUUUGAAAAUCGACAACACAAAGUAAACUCAAAUCACAUUUAUGAUAAUUAUGAUUGUAAAAUCUGAAUCAGGAUUAAUUUGAGAAUCGACAAAUUUAGAAUUUAACAUGAGUUUAAGUUUUUUAAAGUAUAUACAAGUUUUAAUAUUAUUAUAAAUCUACAAUAUUAAAAUUUAAUAUCUUUUAGAGAGUUUUAGUGUAAUUACGAGAUAGUUAGUUGAUUAUAUUAGGUUUUUUCACAGAUAAAGAUAAAAAUCUUAGUUUAGUAGGAUUUAUAAUGCUAUUUAAAACCACCUUAAACAUUCGGAAUCAUGUAUAAAAAGAUAAUAAGAAAAAGUAGAGAGAAAAAGUUAUUUGUUAUGUUUUUUCUUAGAGUAAAACUUACGUGAGUUUUGUUGAAUAGUUUAACUUUAAUUCUAUAAAAAUCUAGUUUAUUUGAUUGACCUGACUUAAACUGACUCAAAGUUAAUCAGAUCAGAUAUAAAAAAAUCAAAAUAAUAUUAUUUUUAUUCAUCAUUAAAAAAAAUUAAAAAAUAAAAAAAAUUGAUUUGGUUAUGUAGAAAUUAACUCAAUGACGUAAUGACCCAAACUUUUAACUAGAUUAAAUCCAAAAACAAUUAUAGUAAUGAGAUCUUUUUGCUUCCCUAUAUAUAUAACAUUGGCUAACAUGUGCAAAAAUAUCAUCACUGUUUUGUUUUAACAUCUAUUCAUGUACAAAUAUCACAACAAGAGAUAUGUAUAUUUAGGGUUUAGCAAUGUAUGUGCUUUAGGAAUAGAAUUUCAACUAGUUAAUUGCCCACGUUGAUAAGAAACAAAUUAGCUAAAAAACGAUGAUUAGUUUAUGCAAGCGCAAUUUAAAGAAGGUGAAAAAUCAAUGUCAAAUAAUAAAAUCAAAAAAAUAAAAUAAGUCCAAAAAAGAAGCAAUGUCAACACGUGUUAACUUGCAAAACCCGUGACCCGAGUCAUUUGAAUAGAAGCAUCACAUUUGAAAAAACCAUGAAGCCCAAUUUUCAACAAAUCAAAUAUUGAAAGAUAAAAUUAAAAAAAAAUAAUCAUACAAAUGGAUAAAAAGAAAUAGGAGUUUUAUGCCAAAAAAGGCUCAAGGCCACCAAAAUCAACCCACCAAACCCAUAGGUCAGGUCAUGAGAUUGAGAUAACCUGAUUGAAAGGAAAAUGAACAAAAUCACAAUGCUAAUUUUUUAAAAAAGAAAAUAAGUUAAAGAAAAACUAUGUUAGCUUUUGUUAACUUAUAAAGCCCAUAACCCGGACUAUUUGACCAAAAAACCAAAUAUAAAAAAAACCAUAGAGCUCAAUUUUUAACAAAUCAAAUAUUGAAUGAUAAAAAUUAAAAACAAAAAUCAAUCACACAAAAUGAUCCAAAAGAAAAAAAACAAUAGCAAUUAAAAGCUAAAAUAAAAAGGCACUAGCCAACCCAAAUUAACUCAUCAAACCACGAGUCAGGUCAUGAGAUUAGUAUUAUUUAAUAUAAAGGAAAACGAAGAAAAUCAUGAAGUCUAUUUUUUAGAAGAAAAAAAACAAUGUCAAAUGAUAAAAUCGGAAAAGAAAAUAAGUAAAAAAAAAAAACAAUAUCAACCUGUGUUAGCUUCUAAAACCCAUGACCUAUGCCAUUUAAUUAGAAGCACCAAUUGUUUUACAAAACAAAAAAUCCAUGAAACUUAAUUUCCAAUAAAUCAAAAGAAUGAAGAUUCAUACUGAAAUAUAAGCAACUAAUAGGACUACCUUAAUAAUUUAAAUUGCCAUCACGAAUUUCAAGAGAGCUAAGGGAAAAAAAACAAAACUCUAACUGUGAGUGUCGUGACAUGCAUGACGUCGUGUUAAUUAUUUCUACUACAGAACGUGAAUUCAUGUUCUGCAUGCAGGUUUGAGAGCAUAGAGAAGGUUUACGUGGGAAUGAGGAAAAGAGAAGAGGUUACCUAGUAUGGAGAAGGUGCUUGGCAGUCGUUGUUGGGAGGUACGACAUGGGGAUGGUGGAGAUGUUGGUUGAUAAGUUGGGAGGUACGACAUGGGGAUGGUGGAGAUGUUGGUUGAUAAGUUGGCAGUUGGCGGGGUUGUUCUGAAGAGGUUGGUGUUGCUGGAAGAAGGAGAAGUUGAAGUUGAUCGAGGGAGGUUGCUUCUCACAAUGGAGAGAAAGAAAAUGUUGUUCUUUUGGUUGUCAUAGGUGUUCCUAUGGUUGGCCUAGAGAAGAAGAAAGGUGUUGGUCAUUUGAAAAGGCUGAUUUUUUAGCCUACUUUCUCUUGAAAUUUAUUUCCCUCUAAUGCACGAAAUACACCCUACUUAUAGGGGAUGAAAGAAGAACAUCUGGUGUUUAUUAGGGGUAAAUCUUGGCCCUUGAUUCAAAUAGAAAGGAUUUCAACCAUUAGCCAAAAAUCAUCAUCACAAGCUACGAAAUUUGGCUGCAAAAGGCUAAUCAUGCUAGCCCUUUUAGGGCAGUGCCGCGGCGUCUAUAAAGGUGACCAGACGAAAAUAGUUAUGUUGUGGUAUAGUACGGUGUCGGGCCAUCAGAGUGGUGUCCUGUUUGUCUUGUUUGGUGAAGAGAUGAGGCAUUAAAUGCCCUUAAAAAGUGGCCACCCUAGCAGUCUUUCAGGUAUAAAAGAUUAAAAAUGAUGAACAAUAGCCAGACGACAAGUCUUCUAACACCUUUUUUUUUGUUUUUGUUUUGGUCAAAAUGCACCAUUUCAUUUAAAUGAAACGACGCCGAUUUGACAUCCUUAGGGUCUUAAUUGGGGAUUUAACUAAAAUUCAAUUUAGUCAUUUGUCUUUUGAUUUUUUUAAUUGCAUCUCUAAUUGACUUCAAACUUUUAAUUUUAUGCGAUUUUGUCAUUGCAAACUUCAAAUAUCAACCCUGAAGUUCAGUGCCUUUUCACUUUGAUCCUUGAUUUUGAAUUUAUGCAAAAUGAUCCUCAAUUGACCAUUUAACUUUUAAUGUGGCUUAUGAUUAAAUCAAAUUAGCCUAUUAAAAAUCUAAUUAAUUUCUUGGACUUAAUUUUUAUGCAGAUUCGUCGAAUAAUCAUUUAAUUUGACCUUGAAUAUGCAUUAUCUCUUUAAUUUUUGAUACAAUUGGGUAUGAUUAGGCUCUCAAUUUUGUCCAAGACUCCAACUUGAUUCUCUAUACAUUUAAAACCCUCCUCAGCUUGCUAUUGUCAAAUUUUCAGUCUUGUUGUUGUUGUUGUUUAAAAAAAAAGGUAAAUUGAGGAGGGGGGAAUAGGUUAUAACAACGAGAAUCCGUCAAGAACCAACAAACAUGUGAAGUCUAUAGAGAAAAAGGACGCCACCAGGAAUCCAAUGACAGGACUAAAAAACCUUUUUCACCGUCUAAGGACAUCGCCAAAACGACACGACAUCCUUCCACUUGUCGGCACAAGCUUUGCAUGCAUAAACCACUUUUUAAACAAAAUAUUUUUUUAUUGAUGCAAAACGUAAAAUUACCCCUCAAUCAACUUUAUUAUAAUAAUAAAAAAAAACCUUGAUGAAAAUACCAAAAAAAUCUUAAAAGAAACUUAAAUAAAUUUAAUUUAAAGGGUUAUUUUGUAAAUUUAUCCUGAAAAAAUAUGAAAAUUCCAAAAAGCCGCUUUAAAUCAAUUAUUUAAAUUUUACUUUUAAAAGUAGUAUAUGUAUUUUACUGUUCAUAAAAAGGAGGGAAAACACUGGGGUGCCCUCGGACAAAUUGAAAAUGACAAAUGGAAGAUGAAGAAAAGACUAUUUUAUCUAUGAAUGAAGACUUCUUAGCUGAUUUGUUAAAAGAAAAAAUUAUAAAUUCACUAUUACAGCCCACAGUGUUUUUCUCUCUGGUCUCCAAUAAUUUUUCCCAUAAAUUAACUGUUACUGUCCACGGUGUUUUUCUCUCUGGCCCUGCAAUAAUUUUGCCCAUAACUUGGUUGUUUUGUUAAUUUUUUGCCCCCUCCACACCCCUGUUGACUCUGCCCUGACGAAAUUAGGCUAACAUAAAGAAAUUAUUACAUAAACUAAGUUCAUCACAUCACAUGAGGCAUAAACUAAAUUAAUAAACAUGGGACAUACAGGGGAAAAUACAGAGAUUUUUGUUGAUCAUGAUGCAUUUCACAUAAUUUUAUCUACAUGUCUUCUAUUUAUUAGUAUAGCCUAUAAGUGAUAUGGUAAAUUUAGCGUGUGUAAUCAUUUCUCGUCUAUCCUAACCUGGCAUGUUCUCAUUUCAUUUUAUUUUAUAUUUUUUAGAUUAAACUAGUUACAUGCCCCGCGCGAUGCCGCGAGUCAAUUAUUUUUUGCAUUUUAAAAAUAGCCAAGAUCUAAAAGUGUUAGGUUUUUUUGCAAAGUUAUAUCCAAGAAUCUCAGGUUUGGUUGCAACGCCUGACCCAAGAGUAAUGUUUAUAAUAUUAAUAAUAACAUUAAACUUGGGUUAACCCUUAGCAUAAAAGUGUCUGGACUGCAAUACCAGACCCAAUAGCAUUGGACGUGGGUCUGGCUGCAAGGUCGUAUCAUAAAAAUGUGAUAAUUAAAUAGAUUAGUUAAAAAGAAAAAAAACCAACAGGAAGAAAAAAACUAAUGAAAAAAAAGAAAAAAAAAGAUGAAUUAAUUGGGCUAACCCUUCAAACCAGGUUAACCCGUCAUACCUUGAAUUCGCAUCGUGAAAGUCUGAUAAUUAAAAAGAAAAAAACAAAUUAAUGGGUUAACCCAAAAUUAACUGGGCUAACUCGUCAAACCAAGUUAACCUGUCAAACCCGGAAUCCGUGUAAUGAAAGUUUGAUAACUAAAUAGAAAAAAAUUUAACAUCAAUUUAAAUUAAACGAAAAAAAUUAAUUAAAAAAAAAAGGCAUCAGCCUUUUCACUGUGGACUGCACUGUGCAGUUCACAGUCAAAGGCAUAAAAAAAAACUAAAGGCGUCAGCCGAGAACUACUUAGAAAAAAAUUUAAUAUUAAUAAACUAAAUUAAUUAAAUAAAUAAAAUUAAAAAGAAAAAAUAAAAGAAAAAAAACCUCUAAGAAGAAAAAAAAACUAAAUAGAAAGAAAUUUAACAUUAACAAACUAAACUAAACGAAAAAAAUAAUUAAAAAGAAAAAAAAAGCAAAAAAAAUAAAAUUCAGGUUAACUCGUCAAACCAAGUUAACCCGUUAAACCCGGGAUCCGUGUCAUGAAUGUCUGGUAACAAAAUAAAAAAAAGUGAACAUUAACAAACUGAACUAAUAAAAAAAAAUUAAUUAAAAAGAAAAAAAAUCCGGGUUAUCUCGUCAAACCAUGUUAACCUGUUAAACUCAGUAUUUGUGUCAUGAAAGUCUGAUAACUAAAUAAAAAAAAAUUUAACAUUAACAAACUAAAUUAAACAAAAAUAUUUAUAAAAAUAAUAAUAAAAAAAAAUGACGGGUCAACCCGGAAUUAACUGGGUUCACCCGUGAAACCAGGUUAACCGGUGAAACUCGGGAUAUGUGUCAUGAAAGUCUAAUAACUAAAUAGAAAGAAAUUUAACAUUAACAAACUAAACUAAACGAAAAAAAUUAAUUAAAAAAACAAAGAAAGAAGCAAAAAAAAUCCCAAAAAUCAUUAAAAAAACAGCUAAAAAAACUUAGACAACCUAAAAAAAAAAAAAAAAGAGCCUAAGGAAUCAGUGUUUUACUAUGGACUGCACAGUGCAGUCCACAGUAAAACACUGAUUCCUUUUAGCUAUUGUUAUAAUUAAGCUCUCUUACGUUGAAUAUUGAAAACGAGUAUGAAUAUUGCUACAACGGUCUAACUGUCUAGCAGAGGCUUAAUUUUCAAUAGGAAGUGACGAGUUAAAGACUUUCAUGUCUUAAAUUUUUUUCUCGAUGCAGAUUGCAGAAGGUAAACAGAAGUUGUGAUGAACUUUCUAAGUAUGUGCUGGCGUUCAAAGCAAUCACAAAAAAGAGAUAUUACUCGAGACGAGGGGUCACCUGUGUUUUGGCUAUUAGUCAAAGCAGCCACAAACCAAGAAACUUCGUAUUUCCUUGCACAGCACUGUCCAAGCAACUUCCAAAUAUUUGCUCACUAUAAAUUGACAGCAUUCCCUUGAAAAUCAUCAAGAAACUCCCACUUAACAUUUUUCAGCAAAAGAAAGCUAACUAGUUGGCCUACAGUGUCUUCACCAAUACUACUUCAUCGAAAACUGUUUUAGAUAACAAGAGAAAGCAAGAAAUGGGUCAUUUCUCAGCCAUUUUCAGUUGCUUUGUUCCAUCGGCUUCUUCAAGGGUUAUAGAUGAAGCCCAUAAGAAGGCAGAGAUUCCUAAAAGCAAAUCAAAAUCAUCAGGUGCUCCAAUCGUAGUUUCUUACUUCCCCAUGAACUCAUAUCUCUCUCGCUUGUAGCAAAUUCCAUUCCAGGAAGAUGAAGAAAGGCCAUGUGAUUGUUUAUGCAGCUCAGCAUAUGGCGGGAGCCUGUGCGGUUCUGAUUUUUUUUUUUUUUUUUUUAUGGAUAUGUUAUUUUAUUUGUUGCAAUAUCUAGGUAUUGCAAGAAUUGCUUAUCCUGUAAAGAAAACAAAGGAUGAAUACAAAAUCAUAUAUAAUUUUGUCCCGAAGUAAGAGUAAAAUUUAUGGAGUCCACCUCUCAAAUCAUUCACCCAUUAAAUUUAUUUGCAAAAUCUUAAUCCUACAGAUCCUGCACACCCCUAGAAACUUGCAAGCUUACAUCUAG